UCCGCGGGGGAGAAUCUGAAGGAAAUCCAAGGCAGAAUGCAGAGCUGAUGUCCACGAACGCUAUCCGUCAUGGAUAAGGCUGCCAAACCAGUCGAAGUCCGAUACCGCUCGAGGUGAUACGCAGUAAAACUGGCAGCUCAAUGGCGCGAAAGG
rnacentral:ncRNA from 1 species